rnacentral:rRNA from 1 species
CAUAACGGAGGAAAAGAAACCAACAGGGAUUGCCUCAGUAACGGCGAGUGAAGCGGCAAAAGCUCAAAUUUGAAAUCUAGCACUUUCAGUGUUCGAGUUGUAAUUUGAAGAAGGUAACUUUGGUUUUGGCUCUUGUCUAUGUUCCUUGGAACAGGACGUCACAGAGGGUGAGAAUCCCGUGCGAUGAGAUGCCCAAUUCCAUGUAAAGUGCUUUCGAAGAGUCGAGUUGUUUGGGAAUGCAGCUCUAAGUGGGUGGUAAAUUCCAUCUAAAGCUAAAUAUUGGCGAGAGACCGAUAGCGAACAAGUACAGUGAUGGAAAGAUGAAAAGAACUUUGAAAAGAGAGUGAAAAAGUACGUGAAAUUGUUGAAAGGGAAGGGCUUGAGAUCAGACUUGGUAUUUUGCGUUCCCUUCCUUUUUGGUUGGGUUCCUCGCAGUUUACUGGGCCAGCAUCGGUUUGGAUGGUAGGAUAAUGACAUUGGAAUGUAGCUUUACUUCGGUGAAGUGUUAUAGACUUUGUUGAUACUGCCUAUCUAGACCGAGGACUGCGUCUUUGACUAGGAUGCUGGCGUAAUGAUCUUAAGCCGCCCGUCUUAACCACACGGACCAUCUU